ACCGGCAGCUCAAGUGGUGGCCAUUUUUAUUGGGCCUAAAGCGUUCGUAGCCGGUUUGAUAAGUCUCUGGUGAAAUCCCGCAGCUUAACUGUGGGACUUGCUGGAGAUACUAUUAGACUUGAGGUCGGGAGAGGUUAGGGCUACUCCCAGGAUAGCGGUGUAAAGCGACAAUAUUGGGAGGAACUCAAGUGGCGAAGGGGGCCAAUCAGAACGAAACUGACGGUGAGUCACGAAAGCGAGGCGAGCGAACCG
rnacentral:rRNA from 1 species